rnacentral:rRNA from 1 species
UACGAAGGGGGCAAGCGUUGUUCGGAAUCACUGGGCGUAAAGCGCGCGUAGGCGGUUUGGUAAGUUAGGAGUGAAAGCCCAAGGCUCAACCUUGGAAUUGCUCUUAAAACUGCCAAGCUAGAGUUCGGAAGAGGGUAGUGGAAUUCCUAGUGUAGAGGUGAAAUUCGUAGAUAUUAGGAAGAACACCGGUGGCGAAGGCGACUACCUGGUCCGAUACUGACGCUGAGGCGCGAAAGCGUGGGGAGCAAACAGG